CCCGCGCAGACCCGGAGCGCGCGGGGCGCGGGAGGGGCGCGUCCCUGAACUUGGCCGCCGCAGUGCAUUCUGGGCCUCCACCCGCCGGCCGAGCCGGGAGGCACGUGGCGGCGGCGAGUCUCCGGGCAGGGCGGGUGGCCCGUGCCGCCGAAGCAGGCGCUCCGCCGGGCCCUCCGCGGCCCUCGGGCCUCCCCGAGCCCGGACAGUGGCUCACUUCUCCAAUCUCCCACAAGACUCACUGCUGUUCUGCCAAGUCUGUCCUUCCCGGCUUUAUCCCAGCGCCGUCCAGGGUGGCCAGGAAAUGAGGUGGCAGCUGAGCAGCUGAGCAGAUGGGUGACCACUGAAGAAUAUUACAAAGGGGGAUUGAAAUAUCAGAAAUUGAGAAGCUUGCCCUGACCAGGUAGCUCAGUUGGUUAGAGCGACAUCCUGAUACACCAAGGUUGUGGGUUCAAUCCCUGGUCAAGGCACAUACAAGAAACAACCAAUGAAUGCAUAAAUAAGUGGAACAACAAAGCAAUGUUUCUCCCUUCCUCUCUCUCUGUUUCUCAAUC